AGGACGAACGCUGGCGGCGUGCUUAACACAUGCAAGUCGAGCGGAAAGGCCCUUCGGGGUACUCGAGCGGCGAACGGGUGAGUAACACGUGAGUAAUCUGCCCCUAGCUCUGGGAUAGCUCCGGGAAACCGGGAUUAAUACCGGAUACGACCACCUUAGACAUCUUUUGUGGUGGAAAGAAUUUCGGCUAGGGAUGAGCUCGCGGCCUAUCAGCUUUGGUUGGUGGGGUAACGGCCUACCGAAGGCGACGACGGGUA
rnacentral:rRNA from 1 species